ACGAGAGAAAUUAAAUUUCUCGUCGGUAUUACAUCGUUACCCGAGCAGAACCGAAAAUUCGAGAGCAGUAGCGAGUAGAGAUAACGUAAUUACGAAGCGCUACGUGUAAUUGGAAGAAUAGUUCGUUCAUUAGGCGACGUUCGAAAUUCAAUUAUCGUUCGUACUGCUUUGAGGUACCAUCUUAACGGAGAGUGUAUGGAUAUUCGACAUUUUUUUUAACGAUCAUAUCCUAUUUUCUCUCUUUCUCUCUCUGUUUCUCUUUGAGAAUAUGAAAUUUUUCAAUUGACUUAUAAAAAUUUUAACACGUUUAAGUAAUACUUUCUCCAUUCGGUAAACGAACGAGCAAAUGAAUAAUUGGAAAAAAAAGAGGGGAAAAAAAAAAGAAAAAUAAUAAAACGAAUAUCCCGCUAUUUCGUUAUACGUCUUAUUUAUAUCAACUUUCUAGGUUUCUCCUACGAAACUCACUUUUCCAAGAUGGCCGUCAUAGUCGCAAAAAAUGAACUACUCGAUUGUUGGGUGAAUAUAAUUCAAUCUCUCAAUUAAUGCCAUUACUUUGCGCAACGCUUUCCGGGAUAAUGACGAAUAUCUUCCGGUUAGAUCGACAAGUUACUGCUUCGUAUUCCUAUUUCAUUUUCAAGGAGCAAAGCCAAGUGUUUUUCUAACUGCGGAAAGCACAGGCUUCUCUUUAUUAAAGAGGUCAUGGCUGGUGCGUAGCAAACCACGAAGAGGAAAAGUUACAAUGAAGAAGAUGAAGAAGAAGAAGAAGAAAGGGGGAAAAAAAGAAAGAAAUCAACAAGCAUACAUCGAGGGAAAUAUUACUAGUUCGUCUGUAUGGGCGUUAAAGAAAUUACAAUAAACGUCUCUCUCUCUCGUGGGGUAUGAGCGUUGUAAUUAAAUAGUCACGAAGAGAAAAAUGAUUAAACGACAACCGGUAGGGGAGGAUGGAAGGAAGGAAGGAAGGAUCAUCCUGGGGAUUGUUCGAACGAAAGAUAAAUUGUUUUCACGACACGAAGAGGAAAAUGCAAUAUAAUUGAAGCUAUUAUUUCUCUUUUCUCGUUCUUUCGCAGAAAAUAAUAUAACCUUCACCGGAAAACAUCCAUUUGUCACGUUAUAGUAAGGAUCUCCGUUUGAAAAAAGCUGAGUCUUGUUGUGUAUGUUUGUGUAUAUAUGUGUGCGCGUAUAUAUAUAUAUAUAUAUAUAUAUAUAUAUACACAUAUGUACACACGUAUGUACAUACGUAUAAUUCGCCUCAUUGGCAUAUCGAGUAACGAAGGGUGAACCACUUUUGCUGGUAUUAAAAUUCAAAGCAUAUCGGAUGCUUUGCAUACCUCGCUCCUUUCCUGAUCUCUCGCCGUGAAAAUAUUGCAGGAUGUCGAGCGAUGAAAAUGUACGAUCGAUCGGUCGCCAUAGCGCAUCGACGAGAAUAAAAUUGCGCUGAGAGAAUUUGACGCGGCACGAAUUUCGAUUCAAAAGUACUCGAAUAUAGUUACUAUCUUUCUCUUCUAUCUUCCUUUACUUUCUAAACAAGCAUUCAUUGUAUCGGCAUUAAGAAAUCGGAAUAAUUGAUUAUAAACAUUAACGUUUCAAUAUUUGUAUUCAAACAAACGAGUAUUAGAAAUUUUUAUUCCGUAGUUUCUAGAAGGUUACUAUCGAUGUUUUUAUCCAAAAACGAUUUUAAUAUUUGUAACAUCACGAAGAAUCAAAAAGAAUCGUAAUUUCGAUUUAAAAGUAUUCGAAUCUUCCCCUCUCCCCCUAACCCCUCUUUCUCUCUCUUUCUCUGAUUUGUUACUUUCUAACCAAGUAUUUUCAUUAAAUAUUUAGAUAUUUAAUUAUGAAAAUAUUUGUUGUAUUAGAACAUCCGAUGCAGAUAAAUAUUUUGAUUCAAAUAUACCGCGCAAUUUUAAAUCCCUAGUUUUUAGUUACUAUCGAUAUUUUUAUCAAAAAAAAAAAAAAAAAAAAAAAAAAAAAACAUAAUAUUUGUAAUAUUACGAAGAGCGAAAGAUGAGAAUCGUAUUGCGAAUUUCGCAAUGGGACAGAGUGUGUGUGUGUGUGCGUGUGUGUGCGUGCGUGUGUGUGUGUCGUAUAAGCGAGCGUUAUAGCUCGUCGCGUCCAAUAAAGCACCAACGGAAGUCGCGAGUGCGAUCCAUUGUGUUCGCUUGGGGAAACAUCUAACGUGGUUCACCGCGCAAUCGUCGGACCGCAUCCAGUAACGACGACAAAGAGAGAAAACUCGAAUCUACGAUAAUAUCCCUUAUCGCAAAAAAUCGUUUUUGUUUCUUUCCGUCUCAACGAGGAGGAGUUUUAUUUAUCCUAUAUUUCAGUUCGAUAUCUUCAUUCCGUCUACGUAUAAUUUACAUACAUUAGAGGAACUCUGUAUGACGGAUCUAUCGAUCGAUUGAUGACUGUACACCGACAAUGAGACCGAACGAUAAAUGUAUCGAUGCGUACAUUUGAAUGAAUACAUGCAAUAAUAUUAAAAUUAUAUUCUGAUGAUCAUAACAGAGACUGAAUUGAUAAAUGUGUGAAUCUGUGAGUCGAUCUUUACUCUUAAGGAAGUAC